GACGAACCGUGCGAACGUUGUUCGGAAUCACUGGGCUUAAAGGGCGCGUAGGUGGUCUGUCAAGUCGGGGGUGAAAUCUUUCGGCUCAACCGGAAAACUGCCUUCGAUACUGACAGGCUAGAGGGAGGUAGGGGUUGCGGGAACUACCAGUGGAGCGGUGAAAUGCGUUGAUAUUGGUAGGAACGCCGGUGGCGAAAGCGCGCAACUGGAUCUCUUCUGACACUGAUGCGCGAAAGCUAGGGGAGCAAACGGG
rnacentral:rRNA from 1 species